AAACAGACCUGGAAUUUGUUUUUUUAAAUAUUUAUUUAUUUUUAGUUUUCAGCAGACACAACAUCUUUGUUUGUAUGUGGUGCUGAGGAUCGAACCCGGGCCACACACAUGCCAGGCGAGCGMGCUACCACUUGAGCCACAUCUCCAGCCCCCAGACCUGGAAUUUAAAUGUUCUGUGAUGAUGUUCCAUGAUGUCCUUACAAAUCACCUAUUACUUGUAUUUUGCUGAUUUUGUGUAAAACUGGGGAGAAGGUAAGAGAAGAACAAACUAGGCUGGAGAUCACAUGGAAACUCUGAAACUCAAGACCAGAUGAAUCUGAAAUGGCAAGGGAGGCAGAAAGAAUCAAGAGGGAGAGCACGGACAAUGCACACUGGGAUCCCAAAGACUGCGAAUCUUCUUUCCUUUUGCAUUUUCGUCUAUUUUCACAGACGAGGAUAUGGUUUCCAAACGCCUCAUGUGAUGUCCAGAGUUCAGAGUUAUUCACCUCUGAAUACUCACUCAGCAAUGAAGAAAGUUAUGUGGUCAGCAGAAAUAACUAUCUUGACGUAGCAAUUCAGGGAACAUCUAUUUUAAAUCUGUCCCUUGGAAAUUUCACGAAUGAUUUAUCAAAGUCAUAUAUGAUCUAUAACUGUUUCCUUGAGAUAAAUUCUUAGGGGUAGAAUGGCAGGAUCAGAGAGUAUAAAAAGUGUGAGACUUGUAGGAAAGACGGUGGAAUGAGAUGGACAUCAUUACCCUAAGUACAUGUAUGAAGACACAAAUGGCGUGAUUCUACUUUGUGUACAACCAGAGAAAUGAAAAAUUGUGCUCUAUAUGUGUACUAUGAAUUGAAAUGCAUUCUGCUGUCAUGUAUAAUGAAUUAAAAUAAGUAAAUAAAUA
rnacentral:lncRNA from 1 species